rnacentral:tRNA from 4 species
CUCUCCGUAGUUCAAUGGAUAGAACGGGCGCCUCCUAAGCGCCAGAUACAGGUUCGAUUCCUGUCGGGGAGGCCA